CCUGCGCCCCCCUGCCAUCUGGAAAAUGCUUGUUGUGUGUUGAGAACCAGAAGGUCUACGCUGUGUGUGACUCAGAGAUCAUCAAGCCAGCCUUUGAGGGCCAAGGCAUCUCCAUGCCUGUCAUCGAAGCCAGUGUCUUCCAGUGGCCUCUCCAGCAGUCAAAUCAGGGGAAUCCCAGUGCUAUUCAGAUUAACUGAAGAGUGUGAUACUGUCAACUGAGGAAGAGUUGGACCUGCAGGGAAUAGUGGUGUGCCAAGAUGUGAAUAUCUCCUCCAAUAUAUUUCUAACAAGGCAAAUGUUGUCUAGGUCCUAUUUAACCCCAUGGUGUGUGUUUAUCCUGCAACUGGAGGGGACAGUGUUCUCCUUAAGUUCAGGUGACGUUCAGCUCUAUCAGCCAGGUUACUGUAAUAGUAGCACAAUGCGUCUCCCCAUCAAGCUGGGUUGUUACAGUAUGAUAGCUUCCACUCUGCACAUUUACAACAGGCAAGUUUUUAAAACACUGCUUCAAACUAAUUAUGGUCUAGACCAGUGGUUCCCAAAUGUUUUAUGGUCCCGUACCCCUUGAAAAAUUCAACCUCCAGCUGCGUAACCCCUCUAGCACCAGGGUCAGCUGUACCCCCUCUAGCACCAGGGUCAGCUGUACCCCCUCUAGCACCAGGGUCAGCUGUACCCCCUCUAGCACCAGGGUCAGCUGUACCCCCUCUAGCACCAGGGUCAGCUGUACCCCCUCUAGCACCAGGGUCAGCGCACUCUCAAAUGUUUUUUUGUUGUUGCCGUCAUUGUAAGCCUGCCACACACACACUAUAGGAUACAUGUAUUAAACAAGACAGAACUGAAGACUGUUUCUGAGAAAUGUUUUGUGUCCCUCGCCAAAACCUUACCACAAUCUACGAGCAUAACUGGGAAAUGUUCCAUUGCACCCCUCUCUCUCUCUCUCUCUCUCUCUCUCUAACACGUUCUCUCUGUAGGGGGUUUCCCUGUGAGGAGGGCUGGAUAUGCUUUUUUUGUUAAGUUAAAUAUUAAGUUAAAUUAUGUUUUUACCAUUGAUAAUAUUUGCAUUGUAGUGUAAUUGCAUGUCUGGUGAGGUUAAUUGAUGUUAGUGUUCCGCAGAGGUGGACCAGGAAGAGGCCUCCAGAAUAAAAUACUGUAUACGGGGACCACGUGUUUGAAUUUGUCAAUUCUGCUCAGACAGCGAUCUGGAGUGAUCAAGAGGGUUUACUUAGCAAACUACAAACCAUCAAAGAUUGUCAUAAUGUCAAGAUGAAUUCAAUUUUUUCCUUUUAUAUUUGUAGUUCAUGCAUGAUCUGUAUUCCUUCCUAUGUUUGACAUGUUUAAUUAUAAAAAGCCCAGUCUACUAUUUACAUGCAAAGGAUUCUACAGCCGUCAAUAUCCUGGUGCAAGUGCUUCUCAUCUUAUGUACUCUUUCCUUGUCCAUGGUCAGAAUAAACAGCAAAGAACUGG